rnacentral:rRNA from 1 species
UACGAAGGGGGCUAGCGUUGUUCGGAAUUACUGGGCGUAAAGCGCACGUAGGCGGAUCGAUAAGUAAGAGGUGAAAUCCCAGAGCUCAACUCUGGAACUGCCUUUUAGACUGUCGAUCUGGAGCAGAGUAGAGGUGAGUGGAAUUCCGAGUGUAGAGGUGAAAUUCGUAGAUAUUCGGAGGAACACCAGUGGCGAAGGCGGCUCACUGGACUCUUGCUGACGCUGAGGUGCGAAAGCGUGGGGAGCAAACAGG